UCAAGUGACUAAGUGUAUGUGGUGGAUGCCUUGGCGAUUACAGGCGAUGAAGGACGUGGCAGUCUGCGAAAAACCGAGGGGAGUUGACAACGAACCUUGAUCCUCGGGUCUCCGAAUGAGGAAACUCACCUGCAAAGGUAUCUUUAACUGAAUUCAUAGGUUAAAGAGGCGAACGAAGUGAACUGAAACAUCUAAGUAGCUUCAGGAAAAGAAAUCAACCGAGAUUGCGCUAGUAGCGGCGAGCGAAUGCGCACCAGCCUAAUGAUUGAUAUUAGUAAAGACAGUAGAAAGCUCUGGAAAGUGCUGCUAUAGAGGGUGAUAGCCCCGUAUAUGACAUCUUUGCUAAGGUACUAAGAUCAUGAUAAGUAAAGCGGGACACGUGAUAUCCUGUUUGAAGAAGGGGGGACCAUCCUCCAAGGCUAAAUACUCGUAAUCGACCGAUAGUGAACCAGUACCGUGAGGGAAAGGCGAAAAGAACCCCGGGAGGGGAGUGAAAUAGAUUCUGAAACCGCAUACAUACAAACAGUAGGAGCCCUGCAAGGGGUGACUGCGUACCUUUUGCAUAAUGGGUCAGCGACUUACGUUUAGUAGCGAGCUUAACCGAGUAGGGGAGGCGUAGCGAAAGCGAGUUCGAACAGAGCGUUCAGUUGCUAGGCGUAGACCCGAAACCGGAUGAUCUAUCCAUGACCAGGUUGAAGUUGUGGUAACACACAAUGGAGGACCGAACCGACUAGUGUUGCAAAAUUAGCGGAUGAGUUGUGGAUAGGGGUGAAAGGCUAAACAAAUCCGGAGAUAGCUGGUUCUCCCCGAAAACUAUUGAGGUAGUGCCUCGCGUAUCACUCCAGGGGGUAGAGCACUGUUAUGGCUAGGGGGACAUGGCGUCUUACCAAACCAUGGCAAACUCCGAAUACUUGGAAGUGUGAGCGCGGGAGACAGAGCACCGGGUGCUAACGUCCGGACUCAAAAGGGAAACAACCCAGACCGCCGGCUAAGGUCCCUAAUAUUUGCUAAGUGGAAAACGAGGUGGAAAGGCUAAGACAGUCAGGAAGUUGGCUUAGAAGCAGCCAUCCUUUAAAGAAAGCGUAAUAGCUCACUGAUCGAGUCUUUCUGCGCGGAAGAUGUAACGGGGCUAAGCAAAUAACCGAAGCCGCGGAUUCGUGCCUAAGCACGAGUGGUAGGGGAGCGUUCUGUAAGCCUGCGAAGGUGUGUUGAGAAGCAUGCUGGAGGUAUCAGAAGUGCGAAUGCUGACAUGAGUAACGUUAAAGCGGGUGAAAAGCCCGCUCGCCGUAAGCCCAAGGUUUCCUGCUCUACGUUCAUCGGAGCAGGGUGAGUCGGCCCCUAAGGCCAGGCUGAGAAGCGUAGUCGAUGGGAAGCAGGUUAAUAUUCCUGCACCAUUGUUAAGUAUGCGAUGGGGGGACGGAGUAUGAAAGAUGGUCCGGGUGUUGGAAGUCCCGGUUUGCGAGAGUAGGAUGUCGAUAGGCAAAUCCGUCGACGAAAAUCCGAGUCAAAGCAUCGAUUCUCCAAGUGAGAAGAAGCCAUCGGAAGUGCUCCCAGGAAAAGCCUCUAAGUGGUAGCUUAACAAGACCGUACCGUAAACCGACACUGGUGGGCGAGUUGAAUAUACUAAGGCGCUUGAGAGAACUCGGGAGAAGGAACUCGGCAAAUUGACACCGUAACUUCGGAAGAAGGUGUGCCCUUGUAGUGUGAAAGAAGAAACAUCUGUAGCAUGAAGGGGUCUCAGAGAAUAGGUGGCUGCAACUGUUUACUAAAAACAUAGCACUCUGCAAAGAUGAAAGUCGACGUAUAGGGUGUGAUGCCUGCCCGGUGCUGGAAGAUUAAUUGAUGGGGUGCAAGCUCCUGAUCGAAGUCCCAGUAAACGGCGGCCGUAACUAUAACGGUCCUAAGGUAGCGAAAUUCCUUGUCGGGUAAGUUCCGACCUGCACGAAUGGCAUAAUGAUGGCCACACUGUCUCCUCCCGAGACUCAGUGAAGUUGAAGUGUUUGUGAUGAUGCAAUCUCCCCGCGGCUAGACGGAAAGACCCCAUGAACCUUUACUGUAGCUUUACAUUGGACUGUGAACCGAUUUGUGUAGGAUAGGUGGGAGACUGUGAAACUCGAACGCCAGUUUGAGCGGAGUCGUCCUUGAAAUACCACCCUGAUUUGUUUGCGGUUCUAACCUCGGCCCAUGACCUGGGCUAGGGACCGUGUAUGGUAGGCAGUUUGACUGGGGCGGUCUCCUCCUAAAGGGUAACGGAGGAGUGCGAAGGUACGCUAGGUACGGUCGGAAAUCGUGCUGAUAGUGCAAUGGCAAAAGCGUGCUUGACUGCGAGACCUACAAGUCGAGCAGAUGCGAAAGCAGGUCAUAGUGAUCCGGUGGCUUCUGUAUGGAAGGGCCAUCGCUCAACGGAUAAAAGGUACUCUGGGGAUAACAGGCUGAUACCGCCCAAGAGUUCAUAUCGACGGCGGUGUUUGGCACCUCGAUGUCGGCUCAUCUCAUCCUGGGGCUGUAGUCGGUCCCAAGGGUAUGGCUGUUCGCCAUUUAAAGAGGUACGUGAGCUGGGUUUAAAACGUCGUGAGACAGUUUGGUCCCUAUCUACCGCGGGCGCUGGAAGAUUGACAGGGGCUGCUCCUAGUACGAGAGGACCGGAGUGGACGCACCUCUGGUGUAUCGGUUGUGACGCCAGUCGCAUUGCCGAGUAGCUAUGUGCGGAAGAGAUAACCGCUGAAAGCAUCUAAGCGGGAAACUUGCCUGAAGAUUAGUCUUCCCGGAGGCUUGACCUCCCUGAAGGGUCGUCCGAGACCAGGACGUUGAUAGGCCAGGUGUGGAAGCGCUGUGAGGCGUGAAGCUAACUGGUACUAAUUGCCCGUGCGGCUUGAUCCU
rnacentral:rRNA from 1 species